CGCUUGUUUUCAUGUGUACGUCUGCUGGAGUGGUGGAUGGACGUUACUACUCCGGAGUGCGGAUAGCUAUCAACCUAUCAUAAAUAUCAUAAUGGCAAAAAAAAAGAAAGUGUGUAUCUCAAACAGUAAGAAAAAUGAUGCUGGCAGUGUUGCAACAGUUCGCACAGAACUCCAGGUUUCAAGUCCCAUAUCUGUUGAUGGUCCAUUAGAUGAGGUGGUGUGCAAUGAAGAGACAAAAGUUGACAUUCCAUUUAAGAACAAAUCUUACGAAGCAAAAAAAUCAAAUAAAAGAAAAAUCUGGAAGGGACUCAAACAGUUAAUAACACAAGAAAGAUCUCAAGAGUGGGUUACAGAAGCUGUAUUUUACAGCAGCAUUGAUGCACCACCAUCUUUUAAACCUGCUAAGAAGUACUCAGAUUUAUCUGGAUUGCUGGGGAAUUAUACAGAUCCACACACUCAUCUAAGAUUUGCUCAAGCUGAUGAAUAUAGAACAAUCCAAACAUUACCAAGUGAUAUUGUUUCUGGUUACUUGACUCUUAGAAAGGCAUCAAAUCCAGUUGGAUAAUAAAUUUGGUGGAUUGACAAAAACCUUGCAAUCUUGAAGAUUUCAUUUAUUUGAUUAUUGGAUAAAUCACAAUCGGCAAGUCCCAAACCAUUGUUUCGAUAUCCGUAACCUUCGGUGGCUCCCAAGCAGUUUCGCCAUU